rnacentral:rRNA from 1 species
AGCAGCAGCAUAUCACCCUGAACACGCCCGAUCUCGUCUGAUCUCGGAAGCUAAGCAGGGUCAGGCCUGGUUAAUACUUGGAUGGGAGACCGCCUGGGACUACCAGAUGCUGUAGGCU